ACCUUUGCACCCGCAAUUGGUUCGCAACUAUCUUCGUUCCGCUGAGGCAAUAGGAGGUGUUGCGAUGAAAAGGGAAUCAGGUGAGAAGCCUGAGCAGUCCCGCUGCUGUAUGCGUCUUAUUGGGCAAGCAUGAUGGUCACUGACAUUUUUUCGGGAAGACCGCUUGAACGAGUUUGACGACGCGAGCCAGAAGACCUGCCGUUGCCAUAGAGAGACAA
rnacentral:ncRNA from 19 species